GGCAGAUGAUGUCCAUUCUCACGAUGGUCUUCAGAUUGCCCCCCGUGGGCCCUGAUGACACCGCCGAAAGGCUCAGCUGAUGCCAGGGG
rnacentral:snoRNA from 1 species